CAUCUCUCAGCUCCGCUGGAUCACACUGGCCCAGUGUGUGCUUGGCGUGUUUUUAAGGGAGAGAGAGGAUAGCGCUCCUAAUGCACGGCAGACCAGCCCCAAAGUGGCUUCUCUGCUCCCUGGGGUGCAACAGCU
ensembl:snoRNA small nucleolar RNA SNORA64/SNORA10 family